rnacentral:rRNA from 1 species
GACGAACGCUGGCGGCGUGCUUAACACAUGCAAGUCGAACGGAAAGGCCCUGCUUUUGUGGGGUGCUCGAGUGGCGAACGGGUGAGUAACACGUGAGUAACCUGCCCUUGACUUUGGGAUAACUUCAGGAAACUGGGGCUAAUACCGGAUAGGAGCUCCUGCUGCAUGGUGGGGGUUGGAAAGUUUCGGCGGUUGGGGAUGGACUCGCGGCUUAUCAGCUUGUUGGUGGGGUAGUGGCUUACCAAGGCUUUGACGGGUAGCCGGCCUGAGAGGGUGACCGGCCACAUUGGGACUGAGAUACGGCCCAGACUCCUACGGGAGGCAGCAGUGGGGAAUAUUGCACAAUGGGCGGAAGCCUGAUGCAGCAACGCCGCGUGCGGGAUGACGGCCUUCGGGUUGUAAACCGCUUUCGCCUGUGACGAAGCGUGAGUGACGGUAAUGGGUAAAGAAGCACCGGCUAACUACGUGCCAGCAGCCGCGGUGAUACGUAGGGUGCGAGCUUUGUCCGGAUUUAUUGGGCGUAAAGGGCUCGUAGGUGGUUGAUCGCGUCGGAAGUGUAAUCUUGGGGCUUAACCCUGAGCGUGCUUUCGAUACGGGUUGACUUGAGGAAGGUAGGGGAGAAUGGAAUUCCUGGUGGAGCGGUGGAAUGCGCAGAUAUCAGGAGGAACACCAGUGGCGAAGGCGGUUCUCUGGGCCUUUCCUGACGCUGAGGAGCGAAAGCGUGGGGAGCGAACAGGCUUAGAUACCCUGGUAGUCCACGCUGUAAACGGUGGGUACUAGGUGUGGGGUCCAUUCCACGGGUUCCGUGCCGUAGCUAACGCUUUAAGUACCCCGCCUGGGGAGUACGGCCGCAAGGCUAAAACUCAAAGGAAUUGACGGGGCCCCGCACAAGCGGCGGAGCAUGCGGAUUAAUUCGAUGCAACGCGUAGAACCUUACCUGGGUUUGACAUGGAUCGGGAGCGCUCAGAGAUGGGUGUGCCUCUUUUGGGGUCGGUUCACAGGUGGUGCAUGGCUGUCGUCAGCUCGUGUCGUGAGAUGUUGGGUUAAGUCCCGCAACGAGCGCAACCCUUGUUCACUGUUGCCAGCACGUUAUGGUGGGGACUCAGUGGAGACCGCCGGGGUCAACUCGGAGGAAGGUGGGGAUGACGUCAAGUCAUCAUGCCCCUUAUGUCCAGGGCUUCACGCAUGCUACAAUGGCUGGUACAGAGAGUGGCGAGCCUGUGAGGGUGAGCGAAUCUCGGAAAGCCGGUCUCAGUUCGGAUUGGGGUCUGCAACUCGACCUCAUGAAGUCGGAGUCGCUAGUAAUCGCAGAUCAGCAACGCUGCGGUGAAUACGUUCCCGGG